rnacentral:lncRNA from 1 species
CCCAAUCCCAUUCCCCAUCCGUUUCCCAUCCCAUCCCCAUUCCUGUUCCCAUUCCCAUCCCCAUCCCCAUCCCCAUUUCCCCAUUCCCAAUCCCCAAUCCCAUCCCUGUUCCUGUUCCCAUUCCCAUCCCCAUCCCCAUCCCCAUUUCCCCAUUCCCAAUCCCCAAUCCCAUCCCCGUUCCUGUUCCCAUUCCCAUCUCCAUCUCCAAUCCCACCCCAUCCCCAUUUCCCAUCCCCAUUCCCAAUCCCCAAUUCCAUUCCCAUCCCGUUCUCAUUCCUAUUCCUGUUCCCAUCCCAAUCCCAUCCCCAUUCCUGUUCCCAUCUCCAUUCCCAUCCCCAAUCCCCUUUUCCCAUCCCCAUCCCCAUUCCUGUUCUCACCCCAUCCCCAAUCCCAUCCCAUCCCCAUCCCCAUUCCCAUCCCCAAUCCCAUCCCCAUUCCCAUCCCCAAUCCCCUUUUCCUAUCCCCGUUUCCCAUCCCAUCCCUGUUCCUGUUCCCACCCCAUCCCCAUCCCCAUUUCCCCAUUCCCAAUCCCCAUUCCCAUCCCCAUUCCUGUUCCCAAUCCCCAAUUCCAUUCCCAUCCCGUUCUCAUUCCUAUUCCUGUUCCCAUCCCAUUCCCAUUCCCAUCCCCAUCCCCAUUCCCAAUCCCCAUUCCCAAUCCCCUUUUCCCAUCCCCAUCCCCAUCCCAUCCCCAUUUCCCAUCCCCAUUUCCCGUCCCCGUUUCCCAUCCCCGUUUCCCGUUCCCAUUCCCAUCCCCAUUUCCCAUCCCCAAUCCCAUUUCCCAUCCCCAAUCCCAUUUCCCAUCCCCAUCCCCAAUCCCCAUUUCCCAUCCCCAUUCCCAAUCCCCUUUUCCCAUCCCCGUUCCUGUUCCCAUCCCCAUCCCCAUCCCCAUUCCCAUCCCCAUCCCCAUUCCCAAUCCCCUUUCCCCGUUUCCCAUCCCGUUUCCCCGUGCCGGUGUCGUUGUUCUGACCGGAACCGGGGUGUUGGGGUGUAGGGCGGGGGUUGCCAGCUCAGUCCCUUGGUCAGGAGCCGGGUGAGGGCCGAGGCCGUGGCG